UACGUAGGGCGCAAGCGUUGUCCGGAAUCAUUGGGCGUAAAGAGCGUGUAGGCGGCCCGGUAAGUCCGCUGUGAAAGUCCAGGGCUCAACCCUGGAAUGCCGGUGGAUACUGUCGGGCUAGAGUACGGGAGAGGCGAGUGGAAUUCCUGGUGUAGCGGUGAAAUGCGCAGAUAUCAGGAGGAACACCAAUUGCGAAGGCAGCUCGCUGGGACGUUACUGACGCUGAGACGCGAAAGCGUGGGGAGCAAACAGG
rnacentral:rRNA from 1 species